rnacentral:rRNA from 1 species
UGGGGAAUUUUCCGCAAUGGGCGAAAGCCUGACGGAGCAACGCCGCGUGCGGGAGGACGGCCUGUGGGUUGUAAACCGCUUUUCUCAGGGAAGAACACAAUGACGGUACCUGAGGAAUCAGCAUCGGCUAACUCCGUGCCAGCAGCCGCGGUAAUACGGAGGAUGCAAGCGUUAUCCGGAAUUAUUGGGCGUAAAGCGUCCGUAGGCGGCCGAGCAAGUCUGCUGUAAAAGGUCGGGGCUUAACCCCGAAUGUGCAGUGGAAACUGUUUGGCUAGAGAGCGGUAGGGGUUGAGGGAAUUCCCAGUGUAGCGGUGAAAUGCGUAGAUAUUGGGAAGAACACCAGUGGCGAAGGCGCUCAACUGGGCCGCAACUGACGCUGAUGGACGAAAGCUAGGGGAGCGAAAGGGAUUAGAUACCCCCGUAGUCC